CAUGUCUUAGAGGUUGAGAUAUGCAAAUUCUCCUGGACCAGGAGGUCAGAUCCAGAAUUCCAGAGCUGAAGAACUGUAUGUGGAAAAACCCCUGGCCUUUGCCUCUCUAAUAAAGGCCUAACUUUUGAAAAAGUCAGUGGGGUUCUGUUCCCAGGAUUUUGGGGCCUGUCAGAGGAGGUGGCUAACACCUGGCAGAGUUUCCAAGUCCCCUUUCCUUCUCUGCUCCCCAGGGACUUUCUGGAAGCAGAAAAAUCAUUGUCCAAACUCAACUCACAGUUGUCCAACAAGAGAAAAGUCUACUGUUGUGCCAACUGGAAAUCUCCAGAUUUUCAACAGCAGACUGAAGGCAUGUGCUUAGGGCUGGAGGAAGAAGAGGUCCAAAGAACACAUUUUUAUCUGCUACCAAACAUGCACCUUUUUCACUUAAUCAUAACAAAGUCAGGGAUCAGAAUCUUUCUCCUCUAGUGGCCUGAAAAAUGUUGGGCUUGCCAUGAUUCCCACCGUUCUCCCCCCCCCCCCCCGCAAUACUAUGGAAUCAUAGCAAUUGCCUUAAAGAAUUUUUGCUGCUAUUUUGCUUUUACUAAAGUGAAAACUUUAAUAUGUAUUUUAUUUUAAGAAGACUUGUAUAUGAACUUGACACUGUGGGUGGCACAGGGUUGUUAAAAUGUUCAGAGUAGCAGCUAUCUACCUGGAGCCUUGGGGAAGCCCAUGGACCUACAGAGAUCUCAGUUACUUGUUUGAAUGAUCUGAAAUUUUCAGCCUUUAGAAAUUUAUUUUUUUGCAUGUUACAACUGUCUUGCCUUCUAUGAGACAUAUAUUCAAGCAAAUAGUACAAGAAAGGAUACACUUGAAAUUGCUGGGAUCCUGGAACCUUGGGAGGAAAGUGCACAGAGGAGUAGGGGGUUCCUAUGGCUUCAAGGAGGGGAAUGAAGAAGGUGCUAAAAAUAUGAGUACCUACUUUAUAACUUUUCUGAAGGUUUAUCAGCACGGUACACAUUUAUUUUGAAAGAGAGAGGCUUAAGGUUUAGAACAUCCUACUUAUUAGCCAUGUGGCUAAUUAUUUAAACUUGCUAAGCCUCAGUUUCACCAUCAGUAAAAUGGGACAGCAACACUUACACUUUAUGCAAGAACUGUGAGGACUACAACUACGUGAGAUAAUUUAUAUAAAGUUGCUAACACAAAGCUUAGAAUGUAGUAUGUGUUCAGUAAGUGGAAUAUGACGAUGACAGUGGUGAUGGUAAUACCAUCUGUUCCCUAAAAACAGAUAAAUAAGGAAGGACAUUUAGAUGUGUACAGAGUAAAGAAAAAUCAGGAAGGAGCAGAUGGUCGGAACAUUUCAAUAGCAGCUGGCUUGCUGUUUCACUCUUACACUGCUCCUGUUCCUUGCCGUGAGGCUCUAUAAAGGAACUGCCUCAGCUUUCUGUAGAGCUUAUCCACUCACAGGACAGAGGGAGACACAGGGGAAACCAUAAAUAGAUGCAGCUGUCUGAUUCCUCAGGUUGUCCCAGGGAGAAUAUUUACUUAGCUCCAAGGAAACGGCUUUAUUUAGCAGAUUAUGGUUUUAAAAUUUCUUGCAUUUGAAUGCUAACAUAUUCUCUCUCCAGCUAACUCCUGUGUAACGUGAAUAAUGUGGACUUGUGAUAAUAUUUUCUACUACCACUAGGCUGCCUGAUAUUUACCUAGCCUGAUAUAAGCCUACAUCAAUGCUUCAUGUAGUGAUGGCACCGUCAUCUGGGAAGGUACUGAGAAACAAAGAGGUGAAAUAUUGGAGUUCCCAUCGUGGCUUGGUAGAAAUGAAUCUGACUAGUAUCCAUGAGAACACAAGUUUGAUCCCUGGCCUUGCUCAGUGGGUUAAGUAAGGGUCUGGGGUUGCCAUGAGCUAUGGCAUAGGUUGCAGAUGGGGCUUGGAUCUGGCAUUGCACAGGCAUAUAAGAAAUCAUCCAGGGAGAAUCAAGGAUAGAGAAGGAAGGAGAAAGGUGAGUUCUGAUGUUCCCCAAACUGCCAGCUCUGCACUUACCCAAGGGGCACUGUAGCUCCCUGGAUUUCCUGCCAAUUUCACCUACUCAAGCUUCAGCUGUAGGGACAAUACCCUUCUCUCAAGCUCAAAUAGCACUUUGUCAAGUGGGCCCUAAUACAACACUCUGGGGCUACCAUGUCUCAAAGAUUGUCUGCAAAGAGCUCUAGAGGUUUCAGGUCCAGAAUGUGAAACUGGACCAUGGGUGUCCUCACAUCCAUUUCCACCUGUAAAUUUUAAGACCCACCUUCCAGGUUUCUCCCCACUCAAAUCCCACUGAAGACACUCUUGGUUCCUCAUAGUCAUAAAACAUUCCAGACAUGUUGCAGACCCCUCUAGGCUCACCUAAGAUUCCAGUGAAUGUGGAUCUCCAGAUUGCCACACCCAUAUCCUCAGGGAGUAGAAAUUCCAUACGCACUCUAUGUAGAAGACCAGAACUUUCUAGGCAACAAGCAUCACUUGGUCAGAUGCUCUUCAUGUCAAUGCCACUCUCUUUCCUUCAUCCAGAUCCUAGUUCAUGAGGGUACGAAACCAAGUGUAUGUCAAGUAUCUUCUUCAGAGAGAUUUGAAGUUGUUUAUAAAUAGGAAGACUAUUGUACUCCUCUCACCCAUGAAUCACUAUUAAUAGCACCUCCUUUCCUCUUGAAAGUGUCACAAUUUCAGUGGUAAUAUUUGUGAUUUCCAUGUCCUUAGAAAAGUCACUGUCAUGGAAGGUCCCUUGAGAAACCAUAUCAUCCCUCCAUGUUAAUUCAGGCAAAGGUUAUGCAGCUAUAACAAAGGGACUCCCAAAAUACUUGGUUAACGAAUCCAACUAGGAACCAUGAGGUUGCGGGUUUGAUCCCUGGCCUUGCUCAGAAGAUUAAGGAUCCGGUGUUGCGGUUAGCUGUGGUGUAGGUUGCAGACAUGGCUCAGAUCCUGCAUUGCUGUGGCUCUGGUGUAGGCCAGCGGCUAUGGCUCUGAUUCAACCCCUAGCCUGGGAACCUCCAUAUGCCACGGGAGCGGCCCAAGAAAUGUCAAAAAGACAAAAACAGAAACAGUAGGCUUGCCUUCAAUUUUAGAUCCUUAUGAAUAAAGAUGCUAUAAAUAUUCACAUACAUGUUUUGUCUGAACAGGGUCUCAAUUCUCUUAUAAAUCCCACAACAAUCUUUUGAAUCUGAUAUUACUGUCUCUAUAAUACAGGUGAAACCACUGGGUUAAAUAAGAACUAAAGAAACUGGAUGUGAACCCAAGUGCCUCAAGCUCGUGGUCUUUGACAAAAAGACACAUAAACAAAUAAUUCUAUUGUACAUAAGCAAACACAUAUUCAGUAAAUUAUGUAAUAGAAAAAUAAGUGCCAAUAAAAUAUAAUAGAAUCUGAGAAAAGUGUCUAACCCUUUUCCCCAGGUGAUUAUGGAACUCUCCAAGGUGGGCUUAAUAUUCUCUAAGUCUUUAAGCAUCAGCUAGUGUUCUCUAAGCAGGCAGAUGGUGGAUGGGCUGGAAGGUCAAGUGUGCCAGAGACAGAGAUUUGGUCAGUUUUGUGGUCUACUGCCUCACAAACACCUGAAAUGGUAUCGUGCAAAUAGCAGGCAUGCAAUAAAUUGUUUUUAAAUGCAAGAAUGAACUUCAGGCAAAGGGCAUAGCCUGUAAGGGCAGGGCACCUGGUUUGUACUGAGUCCCGUUGUCUGGUACAUGGCCUCCCCUUCAGGUGCUGGAGACAUUUUCCAGCUGCCUCCCACAGAGGCCUUUGCAGAAAUCUUAACAUGAUUCUUAAACUUCCAGCUGUCCAGUGGCCACACCCUGUCCCUGGAGCCCUGGGAGUCAAGAGCCUUUAUCUCUAACACACUCCUUUGGACAAGCCAGGCUUUGACCUCUGGGAGCUGCCCCAGGGUGUAAACAAAACAGAGAUGGGAAAUUUCCAAGGCAAUUUAUCUGCCAGUAUUCUGCCAACUCCUUGGAAGUCACGGAUUUUGUUUCUUGUCUCUAAGGCACCAGCUCAGUCUGGCUAAAGAAGGCUGAAGCUGGAGUUCCUGUGGUGGCUCAGGGGUUAAUGAACCUAAUGAAUAUCCUUGGGGCCUGGGGUUUGAUCCCUGGCCUCGUUGGUGGGUUAAGGCUCUGGCACUGCCCUAAGCUUUGCAGAUGUGGCGGCUCAGAUGAGUUGCUGUGGCAAAAAAAAAAAAAAAAAAAAAAAAAAAAA
rnacentral:lncRNA from 1 species